UUUUGCAUCUGUUGUUAAGACCCCUCUCAAAAGCCAGUUGCUUUUGGAGGACAAGGGAAUGGCCUUCUCCACAGAUAUAACAUGCUUUAAAAUAUUUUAACCCUUAAGGAAAUUUGGUGUACAAACAGAAUUGUACUGAAACUGCCGAUGCUGUUUGUGAAUGUGCCGUUGGAUAUUCAUGUGGGAAAAAUUGUGAGGCGUGUGAAUGUCCCCUUGGACAGCAGCGCACAAUUAGAGGUUGCCAGAAUUGUCCUGAGAAGACCUUUAAUGACCAGCGUACAGGUGAAUGCCGCCCAUGGAGAAAAUGUCCAGAUGAUAAGAUUUGGAAACCCGGGACAAGGGAGCGAGAUGUGGUUUGUUGGUUUGGGUCAGAAAGCCCCACCACACAGUCCUCCACUUCCCUAUCUAUCUUCUCUACUAAGAUUUCAGAGUCCGGCAGCCAACUGAUCCCCAUUAGCAUUGCUCUUGUCAUGGCCAUCCUUCUAUCUGCCAUAUCCAUGCUGCUUGUCUACACCUUUUUCCGAUCCUGGAUGCAAGGGAAGUUCCUGAAACCUUUACAUGGGCAGUUAGCCCAGGAAGUAGAUGAUUGUACCUACCGGUACCCAGAAGAAGAAGAAGGAGGAAGUUGUGAAGCAGCUGCUGGUCUGAAAGGGGAGCUUUUGGAAAAAUAUUAUUCGCAAGAUAUGUAACUCCAGAUCUGCCUCAAGGAGCAAAGAAGGGUUCCCUUGAUCAAAGGAAGAAGACAAAAAGAUCCAAAAGAACUCAAGCAACUCUGUUUUCGGAAGCAUUCGUACUGCAGCCAGAAGCAGUCUUUCUUUAUUAUCCUCUUUAAACAGGUUAAUUUAAAUGCAACUGGAGAUAUUGCCCUGAUGACCCUAGAUUUGAACUUAAAAAAACACAAUCCCACACAUUGGAAUCAUUUUUGAAAGGGACCUCCUUAUACUGCUGCCUGUGUGUAUGUGGGGGUGGGGGGAUGGGCAAUGGUAAAGGUGCCCCAUGGCCAAGUCCUCAUACAAAAAUAAAAGCAUGGCAUUUAAGUAAAGUCCAUUCUGCUGCCCCCAGGGGGCUGCCAGGGGAAAGAUUAGAAGUUCUUGAGAACAUUGUGGCAUUCCAGAGCCUGACUCCCGUCCAUUUCCCGGUGGUUUGCCCAGGACAGCGUCCAGAAGGUCUCACUCCCAUGCCUCGUUUGUCAGUCUUCCCAGGGGUGGUUUGUGGCUUUCAACUUUUCUCAGUGGCCUAUCAGAAGCCUAAAUACGAAACUCAUUUUAUCAUAAUUGGUCAUCGCUUUCCCACAUGCAAACUUCCUUCCCUCCAGCUGCAGCUUCUGUUCUUUUUGUUCAGUCUAAAAAUGACUCAUGACGUGCUUGUUCCUUUACGUGAAUGAACUUUGCUGGUGAGGUCUGAUGGAAAUGUCUGCAACGAGCUGCGUUGGGGGCCUUUAGUCUUUGCCCUGGCCUGAUGAUCUUUUGCCAAUUGUGCCUUGAUCUUGCGUGGUGUGUGCGUACAGUAGCUCACCACCAGUUGUGAUGUAAAGAUAAACAUCUGGAACUAUAUUUCUAUAUUUAUAGACCACCAAAUCAGCUGCGCUUUGAACUUUCCAAGUAACCACUAGAAAACACACACCGAAUUUGGCACCAAGACCUUUUGCUAGCAAGAGAGAGCAUCAAAUGUAUGAAUUAUGUCUCAGAGCUUAGAUUAAAGGGGUCAUGAUUAUGUUCCUAGAAGUAACCCUUGUUGAAAUCAAACCAAACCAUAUUGGCUAUAUUCACUAGGACCAUGCAUGUUUUGAAAAUGAUUUGGAAAAAGUGCUUUCAAAUGGCUUUGUUUUAAGGAAUCCUCAUUAAAGUUAAUGUGUCACCUGUUAGAAGGUUGGGGCA